rfam:Myotis davidii contig166128, whole genome shotgun sequence.
GGCAGUUCUCGGGCGACGCACCCCGGAAUUGGGCUCCCUCCUCUCUGGUUCUGGGUGUCUCACCCAAGAAUGAAGCU